rnacentral:rRNA from 1 species
GAUGAACGCUGGCGGCGUGCCUAAUACAUGCAAGUCGAGCGAACAGAUGAGGAGCUUGCUCCUCUGACGUCAGCGGCGGACGGGUGAGUAACACGUGGAUAACCUACCUAUAAGACUGGGAUAACUUCGGGAAACCGGAGCUAAUACCGGAUAAUAUAUUGAACCGCAUGGUUCAAUAGUGAAAGACGGUUUUGCUGUCACUUAUAGAUGGAUCCGCGCCGCAUUAGCUAGUUGGUAAGGUAACGGCUUACCAAGGCGACGAUGCGUAGCCGACCUGAGAGGGUGAUCGGCCACACUGGAACUGAGACACGGUCCAGACUCCUACGGGAGGCAGCAGUAGGGAAUCUUCCGCAAUGGGCGAAAGCCUGACGGAGCAACGCCGCGUGAGUGAUGAAGGUCUUCGGAUCGUAAAACUCUGUUAUUAGGGAAGAACAAAUGUGUAAGUAACUAUGCACGUCUUGACGGUACCUAAUCAGAAAGCCACGGCUAACUACGUG